AAUUAUUAUUAUUAAUUUUUAAUUAGAAGUGAAAUAUUAAACGAUUUUAAAUAUAUCUAGUUUUUUUAGAAUUGAAUUAAAUUCAGCUUUAAAAUUUUUUGAAAUAAAUUAAAUAAAUUUAUUUAUGAAUUAAAUAUUUUAAAGUAAAUAUAUUCGGGAUAAAUUGAUUAUAUGAGUUAUAAAUUAAUUUUAAUUUAUUUUAAAAGUAAUUAUAAAAUUAUAUUUCUUUUUAAAAAAUGUUUUAAUUUAUAUUUUUAAAUUUAUAUAGUAUAAUUUAAUUUUUAUUUUAAUAAUUUAUAAAAAUUUAAUAUUAAAUUAUUUUAUUUUAAAUAUAAUGAUUAUAUAAGUAAAUAUUAAUAAAAUGAAAUAAAUAAUUAUAAAAUUUUAAAAUUUAGAUUUAAGGAAUUAGGCAAAUAUUUUUAAAAUAAAAAUUUAUAUUUACCUGUUUAUCAAAAACAUGUCUUAUUGAUUUAAAUAAUAAGUUUAUUCUGCCCAUUGAAAUAGAAAUUUUAAAAGGCUGCAGUAUAUUAACUGUACAAAGGUAGCAAAAUAAAUAGUUUUUUAAUUGAAAACUUGAAUGAAAGAAUUAAUAAAAUAUAUUCUGUCUCAAAUUUAAUUGAUUUAUUAAAUUUAAAUAAAAAGUUAAAAUGCUUUUAUAAUUUUAUUAGACGAUAAGACCCUAAGAAUUUAAUAAUUUUAUUUUAUUAAUUAAAUUUUAUAAUUAAUUAAUUAAUAAAAUAAAAUUUUUUUAUUGGGAGGGUAAUUAAAUUUUUAAACUUUAAUUUUUAAUAAA
rnacentral:rRNA from 1 species